rnacentral:rRNA from 1 species
ACGGAGGUUGCAAGCGUUGUCCGGAAUGACUGGGCGUAAAGGGAGCGCAGGCGGUUUGGUUAGUCUAAAGUGAAAUCCCCGGGCUUAACCUGGGAAUGGCGCAUGUGACUGGCGGGCUGGAGUACGGUAGAGGGGGGUGGAAUUCCACGUGUAGCAGUGAAAUGCGUAGAGAUGUGGAGGAACACCGAUGGCGAAGGCAGCCCCCUGGGCCGAUACUGACGCUCAUGCACGAAAGCGUGGGGAGCAAACAG